rnacentral:tRNA from 2 species
GAAGGUUUUGGGGUUGCCGCUGCUAACGGUGAUUGGGGUGUUUGUUCGUCCGGUCUUCU